CGCUCACGCCCGGUCGUACUC
rnacentral:snRNA from 1 species